AAUUCUAAAAGUAACACCCUUCCCUUCCGAUAAUUAACUUCCACAAUCAUGGUGACACUUUACAACUGAUGGCGUGGAAAAAAAAAAGAAUUACAAUUAUAUUUUUUGGCGGCAUCUCUUCAGUCCAAUUCCCAUAUUCCACAAUAAAUACUCCCUCCUCUCAUAUUUUCAAUAUAAUUUGCUCCCUCUACAAUUUCUAAUUUCCUCUUGUCAUGUUCUAUUCGCCGCAGAAAUCAAAAGUUCUAGCAAGAGAGAAUGGAAGCUAACUACCUCAAUCACACGCCAUGAGUUCCAGCAGCGCGCUUUCUUCCGGCGAUGAGAGAAGCGUCUCAAAAUUCCAAAUGGUAUUCACUUUUGAGAGAUGCGGAUCAUAUAUGCCAUGUAUUGCAAUACGACGAGUCGAUGAAGAUGGUGAAGCUAAACCACAAAAGAUUGGAGUGAAGAUCUUGAAGUGCUUCAAGACACAUAAUAGAUUUUUGGCACCUUAGUUAUUUAAAUAUGUUGAAAUGUUUGUAAUUGGCAUAUUAUUUUAUGUAAUAUUAUUUGAUAAAAUUUCUAUGCUACAAUCGUGUUAGAUGCA